rnacentral:sRNA from 1 species
CAAAAAUGUCAUUUUAGACAGAACACAGAACACGAAACAACAAAAAGCUGGUGGAAUAAAAAAAAAUGCAAACAAUGGCCGCCAAAAGGCAAAGCCAACAGCAGCAGCAGCAACAACGGCUAUAACAACCCGCGAUCAAUUGCGCGAGAUAAGUGCCACCACCACCACCACCACUCUGCCACCAAGGGGCAGCCAACCCAAGCGGCAGACAACCACCCUCUCACCCCCGGGCGUCCUUGCAUUGCUGACAUAGUUCGGAUUGACAUUUUUCUUCCAGCACUCUUCCUGGAAAGGGUGGUUCGACAGACUGACUGGAUUUGUCCUGGAAAUGAAAGGCUCUAAUGGAACUGGCAUAUCCCCUUAAAUCGGUAGAGUAUCUAGUUCCAACAAGCCCUGUCAUCAAAAUCACUGAAUAUUUGCUUUUUGAGCCAGCACGUAUCUGAAAGAUACACAUGUUUGACUUUUUCCAACAUUAGGCUUCCAUGUUAUGGCCAUUUUUAUGUGUCCGUUGUCGUGUCAUGUAUUUGACGCUGUUAUUAAAACAAAUGCCAAAAGCUCACCCCCUAUAAGGUGGUAAGGUCUCGCAGAUUCGCAAUUUCCGAUGCCCUGGCUGUGAUUUCCUCCGCGAAUGCCACAUUGCCACAAGAGACCAAACAAAAUAUGAUUUAUGAAGCGAUGCAGCUAACGGAUACUGGAUUCUGGAGACUGAACACUAUGGAGCCAGUUCGGUUUCGGUUGCGAGUUAAGAGUUAAGAGCCAGGGCCGGAAUGGUCAAGCGGUAUCUGAAACAGUUAAUCGGCAGCAAAAUUAAUAAAUCCGUUGAGUUUAAUAGAGUUCAAAAAGCGAGCUGGGCCGAAAGGGCGAGACGAGGCCGAGGAGAACGACGCACAACACAAAGCGAAAGGCAGGCAGGCGGACAAGCGGACACGCGGACACGCGGACAGAUGGACAAACGGACAAGACCCCGAUACGCAGUCUCUGUCUGUGGAUUCGGCUGGAUCUCGGACUGGACUGGAGAGCUUUAGCUGGGGAGCUGCCUUUGGGGUCAACGCCGCCGAGAUGUUCCCAGAAAGAUCAGCAAAUGAAGAUCUCAAUGGGCAGCAGGCUGAGCCAGGCCAGGCAGCCCGGCUGGCUGCUCCUCGUCUAGGCCAUGCGCUCAAAUAAAUUCAAUCUAAAUUGUAA